CCCAAAUGAUGUAAUAUUUAUUGCCUUAUUUGUUUAGUGAAGGUGAAAAACUGAUUUAAUGAGACUGAUGG